rnacentral:rRNA from 1 species
UGCGGCUGCUACCAUGCAGUCGAACGAGAAAGUUUCCUUCGGGAAGCGAGUAGAGUGGCGCACGGGUGAGUAACGCGUAGGUAAUCUACCUUUAUGAUCGGGAUAACAUUGGGAAACUGGUGCUAAUACCGGAUACCCUUCCUGGCUUUGGGGUCAGGGAGGAAAGGUGGCCUCUUCAUGAAAGCUACCGCAUAGGGAUGAGCCUGCGUACCAUUAGCUAGUAGGCGGGGUAACGGCCCACCUAGGCGACGAUGGUUAGCGGGUCUGAGAGGAUGAUCCGCCACACUGGAACUGGAACACGGACCAGACUCCUACGGGAGGCAGCAGUGAGGAAUAUUGCGCAAUGGGGGAAACCCUGACGCAGCGACGCCGCGUGAGUGAAGAAGGUUUUCGGAUCGUAAAGCUCUGUCAGAAGGGAAGAAAUGCUGCAUGGUUAAUACCCAUGCAGUUUGACGGUACCUUCAGAGGAAGCACCGGCUAACUCCGUGCCAGCAGCCGCGGUAAUACGGAGGGUGCAAGCGUUGUUCGGAAUUACUGGGCGUAAAGGGCGCGCAGGCGGCCUGAUAAGUCAGAUGUGAAAGUCCAUGGCUCAACCGUGGAAGUGCAUUUGAAACUGUCUGGCUUGAGUAUCGGAGGGGAGUGUGGAAUUCCCGGUGUAGAGGUGAAAUUCGUAGAGAUCGGGAGGAACACCGGUGGCGAAGGCGACACUCUGGACGAAUACUGACGCUGAGGCGCGAAAGCGUGGGGAGCAAACAGGAUUAGAUACCCUGGUAGUCCACGCCGUAAACGAUGUGAACUAGGGAUAGGGGGUGUUGAUCCCUUCUGUCCCGCAGCUAACGCAUUAAGUUCACCGCCUGGGGAGUACGGUCGCAAGAUUAAAACUCAAGGAAUUGACGGGGGCCCGCACAAGCGGUGGAGUAUGUGGUUUAAUUCGACGCAACGCGAAGAACCUUACCUGGGCUUGACAUCCCGAGAAUCUCCUGGAAACAGGAGAGUGCGUCAUUAG